GUCCACGCCGUAAACGGUGGGCACUAGAUGUGGGGCUCAUUCCACGAGUUCCGCGUCGCAGCUAACGCAUUAAGUGCCCCGCCUGGGGAGUACGGCCGCAAGGCUAAAACUCAAAGGAAUUGACGGGGGCCCGCACAAGCGGCGGAGCAUGCGGAUUAAUUCGAUGCAACGCGAAGAACCUUACCAAGGCUUGACAUAUGCCGUUUAUCCCUAGAGAUAGGGAGUCCUUCGGGGCGGUAUACAGGUGGUGCAUGGUUGUCGU
rnacentral:rRNA from 1 species